rnacentral:rRNA from 1 species
AAAGUUUGAUCCUGGCUCAGAUUGAACGCUGGCGGUAUGCUUAACAYAUGCAAGUCGAACGGUAACAGGCCUUCGGGCGCUGACGAGUGGCGGACGGGUGAGUAACGCGUAGGAAUCUGCCUCAUAGUGGGGGACAACGUGGGGAAACUCACGCUAAUACCGCAUACGCCCUACGGGGGAAAGCGGGGGAUCUUCGGACCUCGCGCUAUGAGAUGAGCCUGCGUUAGAUUAGCUAGUUGGUAGGGUAAAGGCCUACCAAGGCGACGAUCUAUAGCUGGUCUGAGAGGACSAUCAGCCWCACUGGGACUGAGACACRGCCCAGACUCCUACGGGRGGCAGCAKUGGGGAAUAUUGGACAAUGGGCGCAAGCCUGAUCCAGCAAUACCGCGUGUGUGAAGAAGGCCCUAGGGUUGWAAAGCACUUUCAAUUGGGAGGAAAAYCUGCCGGUCAAUACCCGGUAGCUUGACAUUACCUUUAGAAGAAGCACCGGCUAACUCCGUGCCAGCAGCCGCGGUAAUACKGAGGGUGCAAGCGUUAAUCGGAAUUACUGGKY